rnacentral:pre_miRNA from 1 species
UGUUGUGGUGUGGCAGUGCGAAUAGCUGGCCGCGGUGUACCUUACCGCGACGGCCUCUCUUCACACUACCUCACCACGGCA